AGGGAUCAUUACAGAGUUCCUGCCCUCACGGGUAGAUCUCCCACCCUUGUGUAUUUUUAUGAUGUCGUUGCUUUGGCAGGCCGCUGGGCUUCUUCGGCCUGGCCACCGGCUCCCUGGGGCUGGCGCGCGCCUGCCAGAGGAUCUCUCAAACUCGGUUUGUUAGUGUCGUCUGAGUACUAUAACAAUCGUUAAAACUUUCAACAACGGAUCUCUUGGUUCUGGCAUCGAUGAAGAACGCAGCGAAAUGCGAUAAGUAAUGUGAAUUGCAGAAUUCAGUGAAUCAUCGAAUCUUUGAACGCACAUUGCGCCCCUUGGUAUUCCGAGGGGCAUGCCUGUUCGAGCGUCAUUUCAACCCCUCAAGCUCUGCUUGGUGUUGGGCAUUCGCCGCUUUCCCGCGGCGGGCCUUAAAAUCAGUGGCGGUGGCCGUCUUAGGCUCUAAGCGUAGUAGUAACCUCUCGCUCUGGAGACCCGGCGGUGACUUGCCAGACAACCUUUUUUACUUUUUUUCAAAGGUUUGACCUCGGAUCAGGUAGGGAUACCCGCUGACUUAAA
rnacentral:rRNA from 1 species